UCACCACCAGUGGCGCUUUGAUUGCUGCCGGCAAACCGGCGCCGGCGUCAUUCGUUUCCCGUCAUUCAUCGCGUUUCUUUCAUUGAGUUGUGCGUGUAGAAUUCCGGCAAAAAUUCAACCGUGAAAGAUGGAUGGUGGAGGAAUGCGUGGCAGAGGAGGCUACUCCAGAGGGAUGAGCCGAGGAGACUUCACAAGAGGCCGUGGCGGACCCCCCAGAGGCCGCGGUGGACCACCUGGUGCUUUUAGAGGUGGGCCACGAGGUGGCGGGGAAUUCCAAGGUCAUGGGCGGGGAGACUUCACACCAAGGGGCCGUGGAGAUUUCUCGCGAGGUCGGGGUGGUGCUGGUGACUUCACACCACGGGGCCGUGGAGGAUCCAGUGGAGAGUUUGUCCCCAGAGGUCAGGGCUUUACACCGCGUGGACGAGGGGGGCCUCCCACACGCGGCGACUUCGCACCACGGGGCCGCGGCGACUUCGCACCACGGGGCCGCGGCGACUUCGCACCACGAGGCCGCGGCGACUUCGCACCAAGAGGUCGCGGGGACUUCGCUCCAAGGGGCCGGGGAGACUUCGCACCAAGGGGCCGCGGAGACUUCACACCAAGGGGCCGUGGAGAUUUUGCACCCCGCGGAAGGGGUGACUUCAACACUGCGCGGGGAGGCGGCUAUGCUGGAGGACCACCCGUAGCUGGUGGUCCACCAAUGCGUGGAGGGCCUGCCUUAAGGGGAGAUGCUCCACCUGGAGCCGGCCGUGGCAUGCUACCACCACGUGGUGGCAUGGGUGGUGGCAUGGGUGGUGGCAUGGGUGCUGGAGGACCACCCGCUAAGCGGGGUCGCUGGGAGGGACCUCCGAACACAGGCUCUUCUUAUCAGGACAACUACUACAACAACGGAGCAAGCCAAGAUUAUGGAAACAGUGGUGGCUAUGACGAUGGCUAUGGACAAGCGCCUGUCAGUCGGAGCACCUACCAGGACUCGUAUGCGGCACCUUCAGACAUGAUGGGCAAUGGCUACCAGGGUCCCGGAGUUGGAGUAGGUGGCAACACAGGCGGUUAUGGCGAAGGUGCUGGUGGCUACAACACGGAUUACAACAAGCCCCCAAUGGAGAGGGGAGGUGGUGACUUCAGGAGUGGUGGCGCUGGCUAUGCACCCCCCGUUGGUGGCGUCGGUGGUGGUGGUGGCUACGCCAGCAGCUACGACGACAGGGGUUAUGGGGGAAGGCAAGACGGUGGCUACGGGGGAGCACGCCCUGCGGCUGACAACUUCAGUGGAGGUUGAGGCACCUUUCCUGUGAAGGAGUGAGCAUCAAUCUGCUGUAAGGACAUGCAUCAUUGGUGGACAGCCAAUCGGAACCCAGUCCUUCCACUGCACUUCAAAACUGAUGGCAGCCUGUCAACCAUGUUGGCCUGGCAAGGUCCCCAAGACUGGCAAUGGGCACAAGUCCCCUGUAACACCUUAAUUACUCAUGACAAAAAUAAAGAUCAUGUGGAGGUUU
rnacentral:misc_RNA from 1 species